rnacentral:lncRNA from 1 species
AAAAUAUAAAUCUUUGUAAGAUCUAGUUCAAAUAUUUAUAGUUUUUCACUUGCUUUCCAUCACGAUAUAAUUAACGAGACUUUUUUGUCAAACACAACCAAAUCACCCACCAUGACAGCAUGAAAGGAUUUUCGAGCAUGUGUAUUCUGUUGCCAUAGUUAAGCGUCCUUAACCCCAAAGGGCACAAACCGAAACUAUACCGACUACGUCGGAAAAAGGAGGAACGAGAAACACGUAUAAAUUACAUAAACAAACGACUGUACAUCAGAUUCCUGACUUAGGACAGGUGCAAACAUUUGCAGCGGGAUUAAACGUUUUAAUGAUGCCAAACCUUCUCCCUUUUUCUGAAACAAUAGCAUAACAUCGAAACAUAGAAAAACAUACGAUAAAAUAUCAAUUUAGUCUAUUUUUUGGUAAUCCCAAUUUGACGCGGU